rnacentral:lncRNA from 1 species
CAUGCUUGCUUUUCGUUCGCACUGUCGAGCUACGCAUUGUGAUCCUCCACGCUGUGCGUUUGUUCUUUCGCCUUCGAAAUAUCUGUCGCCGUCUGUGCAUUGAAUUUCGAAAACGCACAAAACGGUGACACUGCGCUUUUAUGGAGGGCAAGUAGUCGGUAAAACCAAGCUUGAAAAUAUGGUUCGAAAGUGUGCGCUUGCCUGCACUUGUCUGGUCUCGUUCGUUAUACUAACUCACGCCUUCUUAAAUCAAAUGCGCGUGAGCAACCGUCCAUGUUGCGACUGCCAAUUAAGAAAUGGAAGUUAUCCUAGGGACUGCCUCUGCCCGUGGGACUUGCACUUUGGAGACGUGAUGGAGAACAUGUAUCACUACGACCAGCUAACGCGAACGUGUGUCAUGCCAGCCAGGGAGCUGAACUGCAACGCAUUUGAUUCACAAGCCACUUGCGAGCAGAAGUGCAACAUGACCAUGCACUCACCGCGGUUAAAGCGCAAGAGCCGUAGAAGAACGAAAUCGAUCUAGCCAUUGAAUCAACACCAUUUCUCACGGGGCCCAACAAAUACCUCGAGCCUAUCUGACUUUCAUGAGGGCUGUCUGUUGAGCUGGUUGACCUUACAUUAUAGUUAUGGUCCAUAAGCGCAAUUUAUUAAUGGGUACAAACAACAAAGCGGAGAAGAACAGGCGCCCGUACUUCUACAAUUUGAUUCCACUGAUUUGAUUCAUUACACAUUCCGACUUUCAUGCGGAUUUGACUGAAUAUGUGUGCCAAAUAUAGCCUGAUGUUAGAAAUGCUUCUCAAUGAAAACGGUGCCGAAACCAUUUUUUUUUCAGUCAGCAGCGAAAUCUUGUGUCCUUCCCCUGCUACUAGUAAUCACAACGCCAACCCAGUGCUUACGUAGUGGUUAAAGCCAGCAAGGUAGUGAUCUCACACCAGCUCGAGGAGAAUACCAUAACCUAUCCUCCUGACCUUCAUUCAUUUUGCUACUUUUGUGGAUUUCUUUUUGAGAUGAAGAGCACGAAUAUCGACUACGCUGACUCAGUCCGAGCUCUGUGUCUCCCUGCAGAUAUGUACCACAUCUUGCAUAUCUAUUAAAGCGAAGGCGUUCAUGCGAUUAGAUGAACUCGAAAACUUUGUGUGCUUGUUUCCUCGUUGUCCUAGGAGAGCUGUGUUAAUCAUGGAGUUUAUAUUUACAGUGUAGGUGAGAAAAUCUAACGGGAUACACAGGAAAUUUCUCAACAGUGUAGAUUAUUUAGGGGUUAAAUUAAAAUCACUAAACACUCGUUUUUUUGCCUUCCAGGGAGCAUUAGAUAAAAUACUUACAAAUUUUACCCACUCUCCUGACAGAGCGAAACGUGGUAGCAAUUUCAUAUUUGCAGUGUAUAGGAUUGUGAGUGAUGUAAACCGAAAUGUUAAAGUGUGUAGGGUAAUUAGACUUUUUGUAUAAGAUUACUUGUAGAAGCGCUUCGGAGGUUUAGAAGCGUGUAUUACGAACUGCGAAGAAAUUUUGUAUAAAGCUGUGAAAAUACAACCUGCCCAAUGUUAACGUUCUGAGUUUCUUACGCGUCAUGUGUAGCAAAGGCUUCAAUAAGAUAAUUUCAUUACAGCCCUUGCAAAGAAUCCUUAAGCAAGUUACCGAGGGCCUUGCAUGACCGUUGUGACUUUUAUUUGUCAGUAGGCUCAAAAUACGCAGCGUCACACCGAGGCACACAUGUGCAAAACAAGUGCAUGCAUUAAUCAUUUGUAACCAUUUGUGUUUCUUGACAAAAUAAAAUAUAACGAUUACUUUUUUA